rnacentral:rRNA from 1 species
GAGUUUGAUCCUGGCUCAGGACGAACGCUGGCGGCGUGCUUAACACAUGCAAGUCGAACGAUGAACCCGGAGCUUGCUCUGGGGGAUUAGUGGCGAACGGGUGAGUAACACGUGAGUAACCUGCCCUGGACUCUGGGAUAAGCGUUGGAAACGACGUCUAAUACCGGAUAGGACCCUGGACCGCAUGGUUUGGGGUGGAAAGUUUUUUCGGUCUGGGAUGGACUCGCGGCCUAUCAGCUUGUUGGUGAGGUAAUGGCUCACCAAGGCGUCGACGGGUAGCCGGCCUGAGAGGGUGACCGGCCACACUGGGACUGAGACACGGCCCAGACUCCUACGGGAGGCAGCAGUGGGGAAUAUUGCACAAUGGGCGAAAGCCUGAUGCAGCAACGCCGCGUGCGGGAUGACGGCCUUCGGGUUGUAAACCGCUUUUAGUAAGGAAGAAGGGGAGCUUGCUCCUUGACGGUACUUGCAGAAAAAGGACCGGC